rnacentral:lncRNA from 1 species
CUUCACAAAGUGUCUUGACAAUUCCAGCAUUGAUGUUGAAAAGGUCAUCCCUCGUCAUUCCAGGCUUCCUUGGAACACCAGCAGGUAUGAUCACAAGGUCCAUGCCGGUCAACGCACUCUCAAGCUGCGGCUGCCCUAGGAAACCACGUACCUAUAACCAAUAAAGCAUUCCACUUACUCUCGAUUUUUACAUAUAAUUGACAUAAUAAUUCGCUCUUCAUUCAAAAGCAUAGCCUAUGGUAUCUUAGAAAACUAGUUUUCACUGUUGAAUAAUUGAAGUCUCUGGAGGAGAAGUAAAUAUUACCACAGCACCAGUAUCCAUGUGACUGAGGUCAGCUGUGACACCAGGAGAGUUCACAACAUCGUAAAGAUGAAGAACCGAGACGAGAGGAUUCAUCUUCAUUAACAUUGCAAGAGGCUGGCCAAUGCC